rnacentral:rRNA from 1 species
UACGUAGGGGGCAAGCGUUAUCCGGAUUUACUGGGUGUAAAGGGAGCGUAGACGGCAAGGCAAGUCUGAAGUGAAAGCCCGGGGCUCAACCGCGGGACUGCUUUGGAAACUGUUUAGCUAGAGUGCAGGAGGGGCAAGAGGAAUUCCUGGUGUAGCGGUGAAAUGCGUAGAUAUCAGGAGGAACACCGGUGGCGAAGGCGUCUUGCUGGACUGUAACUGACGUUGAGGCUCGAAAGCGUGGGGAGCAAAC